rnacentral:rRNA from 1 species
UAGGGAAUCUUGCUCAAUGGGCGCAAGCCUGAAGCAGCGACGCCGCGUGAGGGAUGAAUGCCUUCGGGUUGUAAACCUCUUUCAGCGGGGACGAAGCCGCAAGGUGACGGUACCCGCAGAAGAAGGUCCGGCCAACUACGUGCCAGCAGCCGCGGUAAUACGUAGGGACCGAGCGUUAUCCGGAUUUAUUGGGCGUAAAGCGCGCGUAGGCGGCUACACACGUCGGCUGUGAAAGCUCGGAGCUCAACUCCGAGAGGCCUUCCGAUACGGUGUGGCUAGAGGUAGGUAGGGGAGAGCGGAAUUCCUGGUGUAGCGGUGAAAUGCGCAGAUAUCAGGAGGAACACCGGUGGCGAAGGCGGCUCUCUGGGCCUGUCCUGACGCUGAGGCGCGAAAGCUGGGGGAGCGAACAG